UUCCUGUCCUGGGGAUAGCCUGCAACAAGCCUUUCGUUUUGGGGAUGUUUGUACGAUAGCACGAGUCUCUCCAGGAACUGGGGUCUCCUGAUGUCAACGAGUCCUCCAAAUUCUCCAGCCCUCCCUCUUCCCUCUGUCUUCCUACUCUCUCCCGCUAUACCCUCCAUGAGUGCAAGCGCAAGGAGGCAGUCCACACCGGACCCAGGCUUCCCCGUUCAUGUGCAUGGUGUCCCUAGCCAGGCUCAGGAAGCAACUACAAUGGAUUCCACACCUCCCGCCAAGCUGGGCAAGUCACCAUGACGACCGAUACAAACACAAUGAUGACUUUGGCAUAACUUGCCCAUACGGCAUAGCUGGAAACCCAAAAACCAAGAAAAUAACAACCUGCUCGCUUGUACGCAAAUGGCUCCUAUUCCACUUCCACGUCUCCACCGUCCACACAGGUAGCUCCAAGGAACUCCUUCUGGAGAUAAAUAUAGAAGAACAGUGCAUGUGUCAAGAAACAAGAAGAAUCGAUUCCAAAGAACAUUUGUCACUUAAAAGUAGAUUUCCUUGGUUUCUGUGUCUUAGUAAUGUCUGCAAAACUAAUUUAAGCAUCCGAACUGUGUGAGGUUGCUUUUCAUACUCGAAUGGCACCUUUGCUAUUUCUGUUAAGCCACCAUUGUUUCUGAUCCCCACAAUUUCAGUCCCUAGAAAACAAAAGGCUUAGAGGCAUCUAGCUCUAAAUUAGUAAAUAGUUUCCUGAUACUUGAUAAAGUUAAUUUGAGUUUAAAUCCAUUGUGAUAGCCGUGACCCUCACCAGGACAAGCAGAUUUGAAAAUGGAUGGAUGGCUCUAUUGUAAUAGCAAUGGAGUUUUAUGCAACUGAGAAUGCGGUGAUCCAUUCUAUUUUCAAUACUGAUGAUGCGCCUGCAGUGCUGCUCAGUGCAGUUAUAUAUAAUCCAGUCAAUUUUUUAUGACCAUAGGUUCUGAGUAAGAUGUCAAAUAAAUUUUACGCCUGGCUGACAUUGAUGGGAAUGUAAUGUUUUUUUGCAUUUGUUCUGUUUUUUCAUAUGCCCACCAGGGAAAUGAAUAUACAUGCAAGGUGUGUUUGGUUAGACAUGAAAAAUUAAAUAGAUAUUUGUACCACUUUUCUUCAUAAAAGCUCUUGAACUGUGUUUUUGUGCUCAAUUGGGCCUGUUUUCUCCUGUUUGGAAAGCCCAGCACUUAGUCUUCAGUCUUAAAUGCAUCUCUGUACUUACUGUCAUGUCUUUCGGUUGAUUUAUUCUCUCUUAGGAAUUUUUCAUAGCUCAUGUUUGUGUUUUCCAUACAAGUUAUAUACAGCACCUUGUUUCAGAGUGAAGGAUAUUCUGCUUCAAAGAACAUACUUCAUCUUUGGCAGAAUAUGAAGAAUGUCAGUAUGUUCAGCACAUACAUUGAUGAUAGUUCUUCUUAGUGAGAUCAUAAAAAGUAAAAGUAAAAAUGUGCUGUUUAAAAAUAAUCAAAAAAGCAGUCCAAUAUCAUAAAUGUCUUUACUGGUGAUACAGGAAAAUGUUUUGUGAAUGAUUUCCUAUUGUUUAAUACCAUAUUGAU